rnacentral:rRNA from 1 species
CCAGACUCCUACGGGAGGCAGCAGUGGGGAAUAUUGGGCAAUGGAGGAAACUCUUACCCAGCAAUGCCGCGUGAAUGAAGAAGGUCUUCGGAUUGUAAAGUUCUUUAAUUGGGGACGAAAAAAAUGACGGUACCCAAGGAAUAAGCCCCGGCUAACUACGUGCCAGCAGCCGCGGUAAUACGUAGGGAGCAAGCGUUGUCCGGAAUUACUGGGCGUAAAGGGUGCGUAGGCGGACAGUCAAGUCAGCGGUAAAAAUGCGGUGCUCAACGCCGUACAGCCGUUGAAACUGGCAGUCUUGAGUGGGCGAGAAGUAUGCGGAAUGCGUGGUGUAGCGGUGAAAUGCAUAGAUAUCACGCAGAACUCCGAUUGCGAAGGCAGCAUACCGGCGCCCGACUGACGCUGAGGCACGAAAGCGUGGGUAUCGAACAGGAUUAGAUACCCCAGUAA